GCUGAGCGACGUGCUGGGCCGCGGGAGAGUGAAAUGAUGAUUGACAGCAGGACAGUGAAAUGGGCGGGAAAAAGAGGCUGAUGAAGGGGAGAAACCUGACGAAUGUAAGUGUGGAGCCCAGUAGAGCCCGAGGCACUGAAAAAUGGAGGAGAAGAAAGGGAGUAAAUGGCAGUGAGAGGGACACAUGAAAACAGAUUCUGUGAGAGAUGUGGAGGCGCUGAAGCCUGUGACAUCAUCCGGCCGGCGUGGCUUUCGCUGGAAUCCCCUGGCGAUGGAGCCGGCUGGAGGGAGAGAGACAGAGCUGAACCGCUUCCCAGAGUCACUCAAGAUCCAUCGCGGUGCGGACGCGCAAGACAAACCUGGCGAUCGUUUUGACAAAAGGAGGGGAAACUGGGCACCUGGAAGAGACAAUGAGGAGCAGGAUGUUUGGGUGACGCAGGUACGGGAGGACCGCAGAGGAGCGGGAAAAACACUGUGGCACUGGACAAUCAAUUACCCCCCAGACCCCCUGCCUCAGGGAAACCCC